GGAUAACCUACCCUUAGGACUGGGAUAACCCUGGGAAACUGGGGAUAAUACUAGAUAGGCAAUUUUUCCUGGAAUGGUUUUUUGUUUAAAUGUUUUUUCGCCUAAGGAUGGGUCUGCGGCCGAUUAGGUAGUUGGUUAGGUAACGGCUUACCAAGCCAUUGAUCGGUACGGGUUGUGAGAGCAAGAGCCCGGAGAUGGAACCUGAGACAAGGUUCCAGGCCCUACGGGGUGCAGCAGGCGCGAAACCUCCGCAAUGUGAGAAAUCGCGACGGGGGGAUCCCAAGUGCCAUUCUUAACGGGAUGGCUUUUCAUUAGUGUAAAGAGCUUUUGGAAUAAGGGCUGGGCAAGACCGGUGCCAGCCGCCGCGGUAACACCGGCAGCUCUAGUGGUAGCAGUUUUUAUUGGGCCUAAAGCGUCCGUAGCCGGUUUAAUAAGUCUCUGGUGAAAUCCUGUAGCUUAACUGUGGGAAUUGCUGGAGAUACUAUUAGACUUGAGACCGGGAGAGGUUAGAGGUACUCCCAGGGUAGAGGUGAAAUUCUGUAAUCCUGGGAGGACCGCCUGUUGCGAAGGCGUCUAACUGGAACGGUUCUGACGGUGAGGGACGAAAGUUAGGGGCGCGAACCGGAUUAGAUACCCGGGUAGUCCUAACUGUAAACGAUGCGGACUUGGUGUUGGGGUGGCUUUGAGCUGCUCCAGUGCCGAAGGGAAGCUGUUAAGUCCGCCGCCUGGGAAGUACGGUCGCAAGACUGAAAC
rnacentral:rRNA from 1 species